GUUUUUAAUUGUUUAUAGUAAUUUAAAAGGUACAGAAGUUUGCAAGCAAGUCAUACCCAGCCCCUAACAGCCCUCCACACUUCCAACACAACUCUUUCAGCACAACCACUAAGCUGUGGAAGUGCUGUGGUUCACACAACUCCAGUAACAUUAUUGGAGAGCCAGUACCUUCAACCAGAGCCAAGUCAGACCCAGAGCAUUGCCAGAGCAAUUUCAACAAGGACAUGUGGCCAGCAGUACUGAGCACCCGGUUACCAAGUGUAAGAGGAUGGGAACACCAGGACCUUCUGCCAGCGUGUAGGGAAGUGCUGCAUACAGGCAUCACGUGGUGAUUAAGCACAGUGGUAUGAUCAUAAACAGCAGUGACAAGAUAUGCAGACAAUUGCUCCUUAGAGUAUUCAAGAACCCCUCUGUCCUCUGGGACCUGCGCUGCCCUCAGCCUGGAGGAAAUCCUGCUUUGAUCUCUCCAGGAAGGGAACCAGCUCACAGGCCCUUCCCUUGGACAAAGUAGGAAGAGGCCCAUCUUCUCUAAUCAAGGGCUACUGUCUGGAGAUCCCCCCACCAGACUGUGACCACUCAACCAAACCAGUGGAAACCAAAUGUUCAUUUCAAAACCAGGACCAAUGAGCUGAUCCAACAAUCAAGUGUCACGUGGCUUCUUCAAAGGAUGGGCAUUGUGUAUCAAACAGAGUAAAGCUGCCAUAAGCUUGUGGAGGAUGGGGAGCAGUUAAAAAUCAACAGGAGUGGUGGCAUCCACUGCUUGUGCUACUUGUCAAAUGCACCAAGAACGGCUGUCAACUGGCUCCCAUGAGGGCACUGGAGCACCUGUCCACUGGGGGACUGGCUACAUCAAUGUCUCAGUUUCUUUUUCUUCUUACAGUUCCGGUCUUCACUGCUGUCAUCUGCCUCACUGGCACUGGGGGUCACGGCCUGCUGGAUGACUUUUUUUUCCACUGCAUAUUCCUGCUCUUCUGUCUUGGGGUCUCCCUUGACCAAGAACUCUCCUUUCCGAUAGGAUAUGGAGACAUUGGUCCGUGGCUUGCAGGGGCAGUAACCUGCCAAGAACAAGCAGAGCCACAUUGCCAAUGACUGCCUGUUAGCUGCUCAGCAAGACUCGCCAUUUAACCCACUCAUCUCAGAGUUACAGGGAUGUGACCAAGCUGACAAAAACCACUGAGGGCAAAAGAAACCACCUCAUGUCCUCAUGACUUAUCUCCGCACUGCUGGGAGGCAGCAGUACAGACUGCAAGAAGCUGGAGGCCCUUGAGCAAGCAUGAAAAUGGGGAAGGCAAGCACAAGUGAAAAAACAAAAACAAAGCAAGCAGGCAAAGAAAGGAAAGAGACAACAGCCCAGCCCUGC
rnacentral:lncRNA from 1 species